rnacentral:rRNA from 1 species
ACGGAGGGUCCGAGCGUUAUCCGGAUUUAUUGGGUUUAAAGGGUGCGUAGGCGGUUUUAUAAGUCAGCGGUGAAAUUUUCCGGCUCAACCGGGAUACUGCCGUUGAUACUGUAAGGCUAGGGUAUGGUUGCUGUGGGAGGUAUGUGUGGUGUAGGGGUGAAAUCCUGAUAUACUUGGUGGAAUAUCUGUUGCGAAGGCGUCUCACAAGGACGGUUUCGACGGUGAGGAACGAAAGUGGGGGGAGCAAACAG